rnacentral:rRNA from 1 species
UACAGAGGGGGCAAGCGUUAUUCGGAAUUAUUGGGCGUAAAGGGCGCGUAGGCGGCUUUGCAAGUGGCGGGUGAAAUCCCUCGGCUUAACCGAGGAACUGCCUGCCAGACUGUGAGGCUUGAGACCGGGAGAGGUGAGUGGAAUUCCCAGUGUAGCGGUGAAAUGCGUAGAUAUUGGGAGGAACACCAGUGGCGAAGGCGGCUCACUGGACCGGUACUGACGCUGAUGCGCGAAAGCGUGGGGAGCAAACAGG